rnacentral:rRNA from 1 species
GAGUUUGAACCUGGCUCAGGAUGAACGCUGGCGGCGUGCUUAACACAUGCAAGUCGAACGGACCCAUAUUGAAACCUAGUGAUAUAUGGGUUAGUGGCGGACGGGUGAGUAACGCGUGGGUAACCUGCCUUACACAGGGGGAUAACACUUAGAAAUAGGUGCUAAAACCGCAUAAGCGCACAGCUUCGCAUGAAGCGGUGUGAAAAACUCCGGUGGUGUAAGAUGGACCCGCGUCUGAUUAGCUUGUUGGCGGGGUAACGGCCCACCAAGGCGACGAUCAGUAGCCGGCCUGAGAGGGCGGACGGCCACAUUGGGACUGAGACACGGCCCAGACUCCUACGGGAGGCAGCAGUGGGGAAUAUUGCACAAUGGGGGAAACCCUGAUGCAGCGACGCCGCGUGAGUGAAGAAGUAAUUCGUUACGUAAAGCUCUAUCAGCAGGGAAGAAAAUGACGGUACCUGAGUAAGAAGCCCCGGCUAACUACG